GUCAGGUGUCUUCCCGCCCAAGAGGAUGUGGACCAACCGAUUGAUUCCUAGCCGGCCAAUCAGCGAUGAUAAUUUAGCGUCACUGCAGCAUUUGACCAAUCGGUAGUGUUGCAAGGUGCGCGGCACUUCCUCGUUUAGCCAAACCAAGUACUCUAAGAAUCGCUCUCAUUUUGAGCGUAUUUGUCAUUUCACAAGUGUUCAUGCUGCCAUUGGCCACACGAGCAAGACAUCAGGAUGAUUGACACCUGCCGAGAUUGACAGCAGCUCAAGAAGAGGCUGAGGAAGAUGAGGGUGAAGAUCAGGCGGAAGAGGUGCAUUGUAUAAAAGACCCGACGCAGUGAUGACGGAAUGGUCAGGAGGCGUUGAACCGACCGUGUUGCCGCGCCGUCGGCAUCGGAUGAGUGUGAAGCGGCUGUGGUU